UUUCAUCAAAGUCACUAAUAA
rnacentral:miRNA from 1 species